ACAUGGACCUUUGUUCAGCUUGUUAAUUUUUCAUCAUGGUGAUAAAUAAAAUAAUGUAGUCAUUUGGUAUGUGAUAAAUUUGCUCCGUUAACUCAAAUCAAUUACUCAUCAAACAUGUUUGUUCGCGCACUUAAUCGCGGUUGUCAAAUAUAGCGUGUUCUUAUAUGUAAUGUCUUAUUACAAUAACGAGUUCAAACAUCAAAACCAUCCAAGAUUUUUUUUUAUCAAAUUCACACAAAGGAACAUAAACUGCUGAUUUAGAUGUUUAUUGUAAUUUAAACCGAUUUUAAUACCGUGGGAAACAUAUCUAAAUAUGUAUAGAUCAAUGAUAUAAGAGACGUAUUUUUAGGUUUGUUUUCCGAAAAUCAUAAAACAGACAGUACAUAAAUCACUUUAUGCAGAUCGUACGGACAUAAGCAAUAAACAUAUCCAAAUAGGGUAGAUCGUUUUUGUUGUUACAUUGUGUGUUCGAUCACAUUAAGGCUUGACUACUACUAGUAUAUAAAUCCAUAUUUAUCAUUUAUGAAGAACUGAAUAGUUUGUAUAAGAUUACAAGAUAACAAAAUGGCAGGCGAUGGCUUCCGUGAUAACCGAGGACGUUUUCUACCGAAUCAUAUGAACGCUAACGAUGCAUUACAACGUUGGUGAUAGGUAUCAAGUAUCAGCUGAUUAUAUGGGCAAACCUGAAAAUGCUAUAGCGGAGAUUAAAGAACCUAAUCCGCAUCAGUACGGUCCUGGGGUGAGCUCAGAUAUUUAUCCGAAGAAUGGAAACCCGCCUAAUCUUGUCACAGUGAACAAAAAGUAUAAAAAGUGAUACAUACUACUUAGUAACGCAUCUUAAAGUAAUAUACAGUUUAUUGAACAAAAGUUUUAUCUGACAUUAGGAAAGUACUUUAGUUUGGAAAGCGAAAAUUUUUUAUCAUUGUUCCUGAUUUAUUGUUUAUUGUUAAUCUAUAUACUGUGUUACUUUCAUGAUAAAUUAAUUUUUAGUUUUAAGUAUUACUAUAAAAUCAUAAUUUUUUUUUUUGAUACCGAUGAUUAGUAUUCAAAAUGUUAUUAAUAAAUGUUUAACAUUUUAGCAAUUUG